UACGAAGGGGGCUAGCGUUGUUCGGAAUUACUGGGCGUAAAGCGUGCGCAGGCGGCUUCUCAAGUCAGGGGUGAAAGCCCAGAGCUCAACUCUGGAACUGCCCUUGAAACUGUGAAGCUUGAGUACGAGAGAGGUAAGUGGAAUUCCCAGUGUAGAGGUGAAAUUCGUAGAUAUUGGGAAGAACACCGGUGGCGAAGGCGGCUUACUGGCUCGUAACUGACGCUCAUGCACGACAGCGUGGGGAUCAAACAGG
rnacentral:rRNA from 1 species